CAAUGCCUCCAUCUGGGAAUUCUGCCUUGAGCUUAUGGACUGCCUAGUUGAAUCUCUGGAAUUUAGCACCUGGAAGACUGCUGCUUUCUGAUUAUCUAAUCCCCAAUUCUAAAUUGCUGAACACCCUCAAGCAAGAUGCAAAGGUUAAUGGGAAGCACAUCACUGUGCUUUUUCUCCUAAGAGAGUACUCUCAAGUCUGCUCUACAUGGGUUGUGUUCCAAUGCCUUUCACAUCUUGAUUUAUCCGGGCAAAUCAUCUGUGCAACAUUAGUCCCAAACGAACUAUUCUUUACUAGAAGUCUACCUGCACCAUGUGGGACAUCUACAAGAACACACCAAUAAAAGGUUGUGUGUGCACACCCACACACUUCUGAGGUUGAACCCAGAGCCUUGCUUGCACAUGAUAGGCAAGUGCUCUACCACUGAGCUGCAUCCCUUGCCUUUGUGUAUGAGGUGGUAGUGGUGGUGCUGGGGACUGAACCCAGGGCCUUUGUGCAUGCACAGCAAGCACUCUUAUCAACUUAGCUAUGUCCCCAGCACCCCUUGCCUUUUUGAAAUAGUCUAGCUAAGUUGCCCAGGUUGGCCCCAAACUUGUGAUUCUCUUGCCUCAAUCUCCUGAGUAGAUGGCAUGACCAUGAUGGUAUGGUCACCACACCUAGUCCAAUAAGAGGUAUUGAGUUCUUCUGAAAUCAUUUCUUCCAGUUUUUCUCUCAUGUCCUUUUGAUGCAAUUAUUUCUCAAAUGCUGGGUAACUUUGUAUGCUUAAAGAC
rnacentral:lncRNA from 1 species